rnacentral:rRNA from 1 species
CGGAGGAUCCAAGCGUUAUCCGGAUUCAUUGGGUUUAAAGGGUGCGUAGGCGGAAUGGUAAGUCAGUGGUGAAAGCCCUUCGCUUAACGAAGGAACUGCCUCUGAUACUGCCAAUCUUGAGUACAUUUGAUGUGGGCGGAAUGUGUCAUGUAGCGGUGAAAUGCUUAGAUAUGACACAGAACACCGAUUGCGAAGGCAGCUCACAAAACUGUAACUGACGCUGAGGCACGAAAGCGUGGGGAUCAAACAGGAUUAGAUACCCUGGUAGUCCACGCCGUAAACUAUGAUCACUCGAUGUGUGCGAUAUACUGUACGCGUCCAAGCGAAAGUGUUAAGUGAUCCACCUGGGGAGUACGAUCGCAAGAUUG